CCCGGCACACCCUGGUUCUGUGCAUUUGACCUCUUCGGUGACCUUGACCUCUCGCCUGCCUCAUGACCUCAGUCGACUUUCUGCCACCUCGCUCAUCACCCUCCAGCUAGCUGAGAGAGUGCCGCUACGCACCUUCUACGACGGACUCUUCCGCUUCCCCUGCCGGUAUGGCGUACAGCUCUACAGAAAAGCCGCAGAAAUCUUUGACAGACUGCAAAGCGGCUACGUUCCAGGCAGCAAAUGCAAUCUGGUGGUUGAAGACAUUGAAUUCAGCAGUAAUGAAGAGAAGAAGCUCGCAUUUGAGCUGGCAUACGCGGCCAUGAAAUAUGAAGACGUAUUGCGCCAGACCUUGAAUGACGUGGGAUUCGUCGCUAAAUACCCCGAGUUCCAGGACGACCUGAGCCUGGC